rnacentral:rRNA from 1 species
GACGAACGCUGGCGGCGUGCUUAACACAUGCAAGUCGAACGGUGAACCUCUUCGGAGGGGAUCAGUGGCGAACGGGUGAGUAACACGUGGGCAACCUGCCCCCGGCUCUGGGAUAACUCCAAGAAAUUGGGGCUAAUACCGGAUGUUCACCGCUUCCCGCAUGGGUGGUGGUGGAAAGAGUUUCCGGCUGGGGAUGGGCCCGCGGCCUAUCAGCUUGUUGGUGGGGUAGUGGCCUACCAAGGCGACGACGGGUAGCCGGCCUGAGAGGGUGACCGGCCACACUGGGACUGAGACACGGCCCAGACUCCUACGGGAGGCAGCAGUGGGGAAUAUUGCGCAAUGGGCGGAAGCCUGACGCAGCGACGCCGCGUGGGGGAUGACGGCCUUCGGGUUGUAAACCUCUUUCAGCAGGGACGAAGCGCAAGUGACGGUACCUGCAGAAGAAGCACCGGCCAACUACGUG